CACGGUUGGAUUGCAAAUGAAUUUUCCCAAAUCUCCAUCAAAACCUGGUUUAUCAGAUCGAAUAACAGAAGAUGGUUCAGAUUUACAUCGUCACAGUCGGUGGUCAUUCUCUCCGAUUCCUCGAAUAAUGAGUGGUCGAGUUGAAGGUAGUGCUCACUGUCGGGUGUACCACCACCGCCGCCGAAUCCUGAUUUUUUCAGAAUUGAUAUCAUAUAAUCGAAUUCCGUAGAGGUGUUGUUAAUCCGACUUAGAGUUUCGGCUUUUUCAUUCAUCUUCGUGAUCUUCACAUCUAAAGGCUCCGGUUUUUCUUCUUCUUCUUCUUCUUCGAUGACGGCGGAGAUGGAAGGUUCUUCCGUCUUGGGUUUCUUCGACGUCAAAUUAUUAUCGUCGAUGUCAGAAAUCCGUUGAUGGAAAUUAGACGCAAUUCUCGAUCCGACGUCAAAUUCCGUCAUAGAGAGAAUCCUCGUCAGAGAUUUCGACGACAGGCUUUUCGUCGGACGUUUAGUACUGGAAAGGUGUCUUGUGAAGCUACGACUAUGUUCAAGCGACGGUGACAGUUUCGUUGCCGAAGCAGCUGACUCCAACAAACUGGAGUACUGUUCUAAUGAUUCCGACAGAGAUCUCGACUUCGUAAACCUCCGACGACUGGCGUACGAACUCCCAAUUACUCCAUCUUUCUGCGUCGACGACAGUGAUAACGAUCGACCGUACGGGAUUCUGUGGAGAACUCCGUCCAUCGAUAUACGAUCUCCGACCACCAUCUUCCCGGCCUCCUUCUGCUCUUCCUCGCCGACCACUUCAUCCUCCUCCUCCUCCUCCUUUUUCUUCUUCUUCUUUUUCUUCUUCUUGCCGAUCUUCAACUUUCGAAGAGAUGGAAAACUCUUGAAAUCUUCAGAUGAAGGAGACCCACGUUUUAUAAAAGAAGUACUUGAGUUCCGAAGAUCUCGGAAGUAGUUUUCCGACACGACAGAAUCUGGGUUUUGUAUAAUUUGCAAAAAUACCUCUCUAUUUGCAUUAAAUAACUCUAAAGCAUCUACAAAACUCCUCCCUCUCCCCGCUUCUCUACCUUGUGUACAUGACUUCACCUCGUUUAUCUUUUCUUGUAGGAUCCUUUGCUUCUCAAACUCAUCCGACUCAUGGUGGCGGUGAGUCUGGGUCGAGCCAGGGUCGGAAUUGUACCCAUCUACGACGAGACUAUCUAGGUUCUCCGACGAGUAGUACUCAAUGGAAGUGUCAUCCAUCUGGAAAAUCGAC
rnacentral:lncRNA from 1 species